GACAGGGUGGAAGCUAAAUGGCUGCUCUAAAACGCCUUGGUGUAAACAACCCAGGGAAGGACUUCCUUGAACUGCCAGUUACCUGAGUGCGAUCCAUCUCACUAAAGCGUCUGCCCCAAGAGGGGUGGUGUCGCCAGGAUAGAAAACAAAUAAAAGACACCCAGCAUGUUGCAGCGCAGGCACAGGCUGGGGAAUGCUGUCCCCUGGAGGGGGUGAGGGAUCCUCAGCAAGGAGUUAUGGAUCACACAUUUUGGAAGAGGCUGUGCUACUAGCCAGAAAAUUUUCUUCCUAAUGGAAGCCCAGCUAACCACAGGAUCUGCUGCAGACCACAGACCAGCCAAGCUCUACUAAAGACAGCCCACUAGGUUGGAAUGCAGACCACAGUUUGGAAACCACUGGCUUAUGAAAUAAACGAGAUAAUAUUUCAACCUACACUGUCAAACAUGCUUGUCUUGAAGAACUGUCAGGGCUGUGUAAGAAAUGGGGUCAUGUCUGUAGGAUUGUCCCAGAAGCUCGUGGAAAUACAGUGAACUCUGUUCUUCCAGAAAUCAGCACAAACGUAGACAACUGAUAGAGAAUGGUAAUUUUUCAUCUACAAAGCCUGCAAAGCAGACAACAGCUGACUCGCCCUGCUAGAAGCUUUCUUUCUGGGCUAAUUGAAUAAAAAGAAGAACUAAUGUCAGUAAAAGGAUGAAAAGUUCAUUGAGAAAGAAAAGAUACAUCUAUAGGUUGGACACCAGCACCUAACCUUGUAAUCAGCCAGACUAUAAUGAAUCAUCAAAGCAAAACUUCUUGCAAGCAAAAGGUUGGUUUUAACAUCUGUUGGGAAAAAAAAUCAUGCUGGACUAAAUAAAAAUGUGAGGGAGACUUCCACAAAAAGCUCAGGAGUUUUGGGUAUUCAUGGGAAAGACAGACAGCAGCUGGAGCUAGUUCCUGGCUGUUUCUUAUAUCAAUUCUUUUCCCCUCUGGUUAAACACAACUAGGCCAGCAAGAAGAAUAACAGUAGUUUUUCUCAUGUUUCACUCUCAGUCCUCAUGUCUUUCACGUCCAAAAUAUUCAUUCUUGCUCCUACAUCUGCAGAGUCAGUACCUGUCUUUAUAACUCUUUCCUACUACACAAAAAAACAACUAGAAAUUAAAAUAAAAAGGUGAAAUAAAGCAGGAAAUAAGAAAUAAGAGGCCUUCAGUCUUAUCGCAAACCUACAGGUACUUCCUCAGAGUGAAAAUUGUAAAUGCUGUAGGGGAGGAGUCACACCUCUUGUCUGAAUUUAGGGGUUUACAGAGGUCUCAUAGAGAUACUGAGGAGCUGUGGGUAUUGUUUGGGGCAUGCAUCUUCAGACCUUCUUUAUAUCUGAGAUUAAUGCCUUCAUAUCAACCACAGUGGGAACCCAGAUGCAGACCUGCACCAGAGACACAUUUGCAUGUGGUCAGGGAACAGCUCCCACCUUUCUGCUGGAAAAGUGAAUCACAAAACUAUUAUAUGGAGUCAUCCUCUUUGCAUGGUGAAGAGUCAAGCUGAACUCCAUGCACAAAAAGAUACUUGAACUUGCAUGUUCUGCAGGUUGGCAGACACUGUGCCAUCUGGAGGCAUCAAAAUAACCCUGCCUUCAGGCCAAACUUCAGUAGUGAAGUGAAUCCAAAUGAACCAAGAAAGGCCAUAAUCUUGACUACCUCUAAUAGGAUUGUAUUGUUCUCUUGAAUACUGAUGACAGUAAAAAAGGGUUGCACAAGAAAAACAUUCUUACAGUUCUCAUUAAGGAUUAAGUCAGCACAUUUCCAAUUGCUCCUGCAUAGGUUUGUUCAUCUCUAUCUUCCAUUAUCAGGAACAGGAAGAGAGGCAUAUUCACAUUGUCCAGAAUCUUAUGGGCUCAGGAUUACAGGCAGGAAGAUGCACCAGGUGUGUGCUUUAGCAGACUUAAAAUAUAAAUAUCUUCAACAUUGUGCAUGCUAGAGAUAUGCCAGGCACUUCUUCCUGAAAACUUUAUAGAAAUUAUAUCCAACUGCAAAAAAUGCCCUUUUAGUCUAUUCCUAUCUUCCUUGCAGAAAUAUAUUUUUAUUGGUCUAAUUUGCUGGUUUUAGGAAACAAAACAAAGGCAAUUAGCGGUCUGUCCCCAUGAUCUUCAGAACAAAUUUCUAGAAAGCAAAGAGCAACUUUGCAAAUAUAAUCAUUUAUUCUCAAAAAUAGUGUAACUAUUUUCAAGUGACAGAUUGCUCUACUUCUAGAGCCAAUCUAAUCUUACUUUAUAUGAUUAAUAAAAACUGGUUAAUAGCAACACAAUACAUUUCAUGUUCGUCUAAAGGAAAUGCUUUACUUUAUCGAUCCAAAGGAAAAUUUUACUUCAAGGAAGCAUCAGAAAUAUUCUUCAAGAUUUUGCAAGUCACUAAAUUCAUUUUCAAACAAUGCCUAAACUUUCAUUUUGGCAGAUGCUUAAAUAUUAUAUUAUCUCCACUAGAGCAUUUAUGAGAUUUCAGACUAUUGAUAAAACAUACAUAGAGAAUUUACCAUCUGUGAAAGAAGUGGUAAACAAAGGUUUACCUUACUCAAAACAUAGAAACAAGUUUCUGCUGUUCAAAUCACAAGACAUAUUACUUAGGAGAGAUUGAUCUAAAAGCACAAUCUAACAUACCCUUCUUGCUAUACGAAAAGAACAAACUCCCACAGAUUCAUUGUAUAAGCUGCUGAUCAGCAUGCUAAUUUUCAAGUUAUGGUUUAAUGAUGUUCUCUGUGCAGGCAAGCAAUCAGGAACUAACUGUAAAGAGUCUGUAAAAUGGAGGAGUAUAAUAUUAUAUGACAACACACCAGUAAUGGUUUCAAAUUACAAGCAAAUCUGAGCAGGGGAAAAAAAGUCUUCUCCCCUUUCUCCCAAACACAUGCACAAUUUCCUUUAGAAGAAAAAAAACAAGAGAAAUAAAUGCAUUGCUUGCUCUUUCUCAGAGGUAUAUCAAAUGCUGAUUGAUUCUAAAUCAUCUGAAUUGUAAUGUGACCAUCAGAGCAAAAUGUGGCCUUACAAUGCUUUCCUGUAACUCAAAGGGCAGGACAAAAGUGACUGUGUUGAAAGAAUUAUUGCCAAGGACAUAACUGUAAUGAAGUAUUAUCACAGACAUAUAAUAUUAUCAAAAUAUCAAACUCUACACAUGUCAACAGUCACCCAACAUGAUUAGAGGCAGAUCUGGUUUUCAGUUUAGGUGAAAGCAGGCAGUUGUUUAUGUUGGCAGAUCACGGGGGAAAGGGAGGAAAUGAAAUGCCCCCAUACAGGGUGCCAUGGCCUCAUGGCCUGUUUUGAGGACCCCAGGAGAAAGACAGGCAGGGACAGGAGCUGUGUGCCCCACCACCAGUAGAUCAGCUCAUAGAGGGAGCAGAAGGUUAAUGCUUCCCUGCCCACCAGUUCCUAGUAAAUCUGCUCCCUCCCAAUAAAUCCCUGCUUUAUUUCUCCAGUCCUUCACAUUUACCUCCGGGGAUGGGGCAGGAAAGAAAACAACCCCUCUGCCCACCACCACCUCCUGAUUGGUGGUGGCUUCCCAGAGGCCACAGCUGAUUCCUUUCAAUCUCCUUCCCUGACAUCUGCCACCAAACUAGAAAAGGUAUGUGGCAGGUCCCCAAGCCUGGUGACCCACUCCCAAAUUUGUGUCUUCUCACAGAAGCUGCCAUAGUGCUGCUAGGCUUUACCUGUUUGGGGUUUUUUUGUCCUUUGCCCAGUGGCUUCUCCUUGCAAGGCUUUCCCUACAAGCCUGGGUGUCGAUUCACCAAGCAGGCAGUAUUAAAUUGAAACACACCAACCAUUAAGCAUGGCUAAAGGUGAGCAUGUCAAGGAAAGGCAGUGUCUGCUGUCAGAUUAGAACCCUUUUGAACUGCAGCCUUAUACAACUGUCCUCUAUGCCUAUUAUUUAUGAGGUGAACUGAGGAUAUGACAGCCUCGUCUGCUGAUGUGACAGGAAAAGCACAUUGUUCACUUUGAACCUUGCAGAAACGUGGAAAGCUUUCUUGCACUCCUUUCAGCAUAGCCCCACUCCAAGAACCAUAUUGACUCGUAAUAGCUUCUGUUUAUGCAGUGCAAUGAGCUGAGGUCAGUGGGAAAGUGUCAGCUGCAGCAUAUGACUGUGCUUUCACUGCAUCAUGGAACUUGGCACAGCCCCGCAGUGACAGAUAACAAACUGCAUUCUAUAGCUUUCAAAACCCUCAAAGGAUAUGUGGCUGGGAAAGGCUUGCAAAUGCCUUCCCUUGAUUAAUAGUCACAAAACUGAAGUGAUCAUAAUUUAGUCCUAGCAAGGAGAUGUACUUCUUUCCAGCACCAAUAAAGAAAGACACCAAAGCCCACAAACCUACACAAUAUAAAGAAAUUGUCUUUAAAGAAAUUCACAGUCAUCAUGCCAGACACUAAAUGAAUUAUUUCUCUCAUUUCUUGUCUCACCACAGUUUCCUCCCACUUGGACACACAUGUUAGGCAUUCAGUUAACCUCAAGCAUAGCUCUCCUGGCCCUAUCGCUGUAUCUGCACUCCCCAUCAGGAGGGUAUGCUAGCCUACAUUUUUGCAAUGUAAAAAGAGUGACAUCAUUUUUUUUCUUAAAGUAGCUUGUCUGCAAGAGCACUUCAGCUGUAUGCACUCGGCUCAGUCCCAGAAUGUGCUUGUUCCUGUGCACUUUCCUGUCCUGGGCUCGGCACAGUGCUCAGAGCUGCUCUGGCUCACAGCUCCAGGCUUAAAUACCCCGUUCUGAACCUCUCAGCUGCAUUUGCUUCCCCAUCUAUAACUUUCAUCGACCUCCUGCUCUUGCACUGCACUUCCUGGGAAGUGUUUUGUUCAUGGACCCAGCGGAGGAAUAUGUUAUGACAAUGGAGUUUUAAGGAAGGCUUUUUGUUUUGUUGUGUCAUGCACUUUAUCCAUCCCAUUUUGUCAUCUGGUGGUUUUCCUUUCUUGUUCUAGCACAUAUUUCAUUUCUAAAGCUAUUUCACAAGCAGCAUUGGAAGUCAAUCCUUUUUCAGAUAACAAUUUUUUUCAGCUGAUCCACCUUCCUAUGUAUUUCCAAAUCCGUCAGAGAGUGCUUUAUUUGGCUACAGUCCUGCAUUGUAUACUGAAUAUUUAUAGAAUAAGUCACAGUGUCAUGACAUUCAGAUAUUCUGAAUUCUGAAUGAAUUCUAAAUAAUUUUUUACUUUCUUUCCAAUCAGAAAAUUCAGCUUGGCUACUAACACUGAACUUCACUGACUGCAUAGAAACAAAAAGCUAAAAAAACUCACAUUACAUAGGGCCUGCAUUUGGAAAAGAGUUGCCUUUAUUUCUUCAAGAAAAAUUGAAUUUGAAUUUGAUCACUUCUUAGAUCUAAUAAGUGGCUGUUUCAGAUGUUUCAGACACUUUUGAGAAUAUGUCAUGAAAAUAAAAAAAGGAUAUAUUUCUGCUUUUCAGACUCCCAUGUUACAAAGUGCCAUCAUUCUGAUUUCACUGAAAGAACUUCACCUGCAUUUCACAGCCCUCCCCAUUUAUUGUUUGGUUUCUUUUUCUUAGCUGAACUGCCUUGAAUAUUGGGUUAACAAGCCUCAGUGAAAUUUCUCUUCUUUCCUGUAUCCUGAUAGUAUAUACAAGUAACAUGUGGCUUAAGGUCUAGAAAAAGUUUUUAAUUAAAACCAAGUGCUAGAAUUAUACUGUCUUAGGGUUUCCUCAUGUUUCCUGACUUUUUUGUGUCCAAAAAAAUUGUUCAGAGCACAAACUUUAUUGUUACUGGUAUCUUGUAAAUACCUUGAUACACAAACAAUUUGUUUUGUUGUUUAUUGCAAGAGUACUGUUAUGGAUGUAUGUAUGUUCAGCAGUUUUAGGAUAUCAACUGUAGGAAUGGGAAAUGUUUAUACUUUUAAAGAGACAUCUGACUAUGAAAUUACUGUUGAAGUACAGUAAAAUAAAUACUAUGUUCAUUGCCUUUUUA